rnacentral:rRNA from 1 species
GAGAGAGACAUGCGCGCAUAUCAAUAAGCGGAGGAAAAGAAACUAACAAGGAUUCCCUUAGUAACGGCGAGUGAAGCGGGAAGAGCUCAAAUUUGAAAUCUUCAAGGUUUUACCUUGACGAAUUGUAGUUUAAAGAAGUGUUUUCUGCUGAAGUUUAGGUAAAAGUUCUUUGGAAUAGGACAUCAUAGAGGGUGAGAAUCCCGUAUUUGACCAUUAUUUUCAGCUUUGUGAUACACUUUCAAAGAGUCGGAUUGUUUGGGAAUGCAGUCCAAAAUGGGUGGUAAAUUUCAUCUAAAGCUAAAUAUUGGCGAGAGACCGAUAGCGAACAAGUACCGUGAGGGAAGAUGAAAAGAACUUUGAAAAGAGAGUUAAACAGUACGUGAAAUUGUCAAAAGGGAAGCGUUUGACACCAGUGUUGUUUUCUCGAAAAUCAAUUAAAAAUGGCUCCGAUUUUGUAUUGCUUGAGACCUUAAAAGCUCACUGUACAUUUUUCGUGUCUUUUUUAAUGCACUUUUCGUUUAACAAGUCAACAUCAGUUUCUUUUGUUGUAAAAGGGUCAUUGGAAGGUGGCUUUCUUUUCGGAGAAAGUGUUUAUAGCCUUUGGCCUCUGCAAUCGGAGAGACUGAGGUCUGCAGCGUAGACUCUUCGGGGUUAGAUACAUUUGUGCUAAGUUAUAGCUUUUUAUAGACAACUUGUUGACUAUAAUUAGUCUUGUAGCUUACUCGCUUAUGCUAUUUUACCUACGCUUAGGAUGUUGAGUCGUAGAGCACGCAG